GGCCGCGGGAAUUCGAUUCAGGCCUAACACAUGCAAGUCGAGCGAUGAAACCCUUCGGGGUGGAUUAGCGGCGGACGGGUGAGUAACACGUGGGUAACCUGCCUCAAAGAGGGGAAUAGCCUCCCGAAAGGGAGAUUAAUACCGCAUAAUAUGUUUUGGUCGCAUGAUUGAAACAUCAAAGGAGUUUCUUCGGAAAUUCCACUUUGAGAUGGACCCGCGGCGCAUUAGCUAGUUGGUGAGGUAACGGCCCACCAAGGCAACGAUGCGUAGCCGACCUGAGAGGGUGAUCGGCCACAUUGGAACUGAGACACGGUCCAGACUCCUACGGGAGGCAGCAGUGGGGAAUAUUGAAAAGGGGGGGAAACCCUGACGCAGC
rnacentral:rRNA from 1 species